GACGAACGCUGGCGGCGUGCCUAACACAUGCAAGUCGAGCGGUCUCGCCUAUAGCAAAAGGCCUUCGGGCUUCGAGCAAAGGCGAGAUAGCGGCGGACGGGUGAGUAACGCGUGGCUUAUCUGUCCCAGGGAGGGGGAUAACGUCUGGAAACGGGCGCUAAUACCCCAUAUGCCGGUGAGGUAAAAAGGAGAAAUCCGCCCUGGGGUGAGGCCGCGUCCUAUCAGCUAGUUGGUGAGGUAACGGCCCACCAAGGCUAUGACGGGUAGCCGGCCUGAGAGGGCGGCUGGCCACACUGGGAUUGAGAUACGGCCCAGACUCCUUCGGGAGGCAGCAGUGGGGAAUAUUGGGCAAUGGGGGAAACCCUGACCCAGCGACGCCGCGUGGAGGAAGGAGCCCUUCGGGGUGUAAACUCCUGUUGUAAGGGAAGAAGACAGUGACGGUACCUUACGAGGAAGCCCCGGCAAACUACGUGCCAGCAGCCGCGGUAACACGUAGGGGGCGAGCGUUGUCCGGAAUCACUGGGCGUAAAGCGCACGCAGGCGGAUGCGCGCGUCGGCUGUGAAAUGCACCGGCUCAACCGGUGCACUGCGGUCGAUACGGCGCGUCUGGAGUGCGGGAGAGGGAAGCGGAAUUCCCGGUGUAGCGGUGAAAUGCGUAGAUAUCGGGAGGAACGCCCGGUGGCGAAAGCGGCUUCCUGGCCCGCAACUGACGCUCAUGUGCGAAAGCCAGGGGAGCGAACC
rnacentral:rRNA from 1 species